rnacentral:lncRNA from 7 species
AAUGAACAGGGACACCUAUAGCCUUACCUUAGAUCUCUCCCUGUGCAAGUCCCCUCCUUUGCUUCAUUCUUUUGUCUAUAACCAGACAAAGGACCUGCCCCCACUCAUUGUCUCAGGGGCAAACAAGAGGGCAGGAGAGAGCUGGAGAUGAAGUGUCCUCUUGUAUCUCUCCAGAGCUAAUUCCCUGCUACUGUAGGAGUGAUGUGUGGAGUAGAGACGCUCACAGAAAUAUUGAUUGCUCACUGGGGGGUAUUUCUGUUCUUACGUUGGACAAAUAUAAUUCCAGGAUGAAGGUCUCCAGAGAGCUCAAAAUUGGCUUUUCAUAGCUAUUAUGGUAUUUUCAUUCUGUUGUGGAAUAUCGUUUAUCCAGCCUUGGGAAAGUGAAACAGCCUUGCCAGGAGACAAAACAAGGAGCCAGGAAACAAAGUUCUGCUCUUGGUAUUGCCACCAGGUCUGUCUGUGGCAUCCUGUUGUCAUUCUUUGCCUCAGAUCACCUCAGUACUGGACAGCUGUGGCAUUUGACUAUUCAGGGGCAGUGAAGGAGAUCAUGGUGGGCCUCCAGUUUGUUCCUGUACUGAUUGCUGUCCUCGGUGCUGCAGUUUUUUGAGGUGAUCCCUUCCUUGUCGUGUGAAGCUUUCCCAGCCUGAUUUUAAGUCUGGUCAGGUUCCUCCUGCUUCCUCCCAUUCUGGUGGAGAGCAGAGAGCUGGAGCACUUACCCAGGCACUGCGUAUAAUCCCACAGACAGGGAGGAUAAUAACUGCUUGUGAGGUUAGGCAGAGAAAAUUAGCAGUGGAUCUGAGGUCAAAACUGCCUAAAUAGAAGGAAAAAGGAAAGAAGCCUGGAGUGGAGGAUCAUGCUGAUGUGAAUGGUGAUGGCAUAUGGCAGAGUGCUGCACUGCUCUGAAAACCUCUGCACAGGCAGUGUCUCUAAGCAGUACCUUGAACGUUUCUCCCAUUUCCAACACAUUGAUUUCUGCUUGACAAGGAAAUCAAGAAUCAGGCUUUAAAUGAAAUGGAGUCCUGAUGUUUCCAUGGAAAUCUCUCGUGUCUAUCAAAUUAAUGGAGAGCAAGCUGCAUUUUGCAUAAAAGUAAACAAAAUGAGGCUGCUGCAGAGGCAGUACCUUUUCCAUUUGGACUAAAAAUCCCAUAUUCUCUCUUCAUGGACUUUGUCCCUCUCCUUUCUGUACUUCUGCAGAGAGCUUGCCUGUCCUACGUGCAGUAUUUAUUUCAGUUGACUGGAGUACACAGAGAAUCUUACUCCUGGAUAACCAGCAUAAACUGUAUGAUAAGCAAAUAACAGGACAAAUGACUUAAUCCUGUAUAAAAGUAUAAAAUAAAAU